GGCGAACGCUGGCGGCAGGCUUAACACAUGCAAGUCGAGCGGGCACUUCGGUGUCAGCGGCAGACGGGUGAGUAACACGUGGGAACGUACCCUUCGGUUCGGAAUAACGCUGGGAAACUAGCGCUAAUACCGGAUACGCCCUUUUGGGGAAAGGUUUACUGCCGAAGGAUCGGCCCGCGUCUGAUUAGCUAGUUGGUGGGGUAAUGGCCUACCAAGGCGACGAUCAGUAGCUGGUCUGAGAGGAUGAUCAGCCACACUGGGACUGAGACACGGCCCAGACUCCUACGGGAGGCAGCAGUGGGGAAUAUUGGACAAUGGGCGCAAGCCUGAUCCAGCCAUGCCGCGUGAGUGAUGAAGGCCUUAGGGUUGUAAAGCUCUUUUGUCCGGGACGAUAAUGACGGUACCGGAAGAAUAAGCCCCGGCUAACUUCGUGCCAGCCGCCGCCGUAA
rnacentral:rRNA from 1 species